UAUGCUUGUUUCCGAGAUUAAGCCAUGCAUGCUUUUUUGAAUAAACGUUCUUUUUGUUCAUACCUUGGAUAGUGGGCGGUGAAUCUGCGAAAAGCUCCAUAAUACUGUUAUAACUUUCCCAAUUAAUCUGUAGGCUUUCUACCAAUAUAAGUAGAAGUCUUCUCUCUUUUUGAAUCCCUUUUUCUCAAGGGGGUGCCCUUCAUUUUGAGAGAAACUUAUACGGAUAUCCGGUGGAAAUUCUACGGCUAAUACGUGCACCUUGGUUCUUCACUUUUUUCUUCCAGUAUUUAGUUUUGACCCUCUGCCUUGAACCUAUCCUUCGGGGUAACCUUUGCUGAGACUUUACUUGUAUUGGGAGGGGGAGUGGAAGCCAUGAAAUUCUUAAAAAAUCUCUUGAUAAAGUUAGAACUCACAUCCUUGGCUGGGUGUGGCUUUUGAUUUUUGAAGGUGAUUCUGGUUCUUGGUCGACUAGGAAAUACUCUUGCUUUAGCUUUAAUUUCCUUCGGGGGUUUUUGCUAUUCAAGAGUCUCUUUCUUAGUAAGUUGGAAAGGUUUCAGAUCUAUCAUACUUGUGAACAGGGUAUUGACCUGCUCAGGUUAUAACAGAUACGGGGAAUUAGGGUUUGAUUCCGGAGAGGAAGCCUAAAAAACCGCUUCCACUUCCAAGGAAGGCAGCAGGCGCGUAACGUUUCCAAUGACUAAGUUGUUGAGAACGCUAGGAAACAUAUGGGACUAGGCUAUUUAGUCUAGAAUACCCGAAUGAGGGCAAUCCAAACAACUCACCUAGUAACAAUUAGUGGGAAAGUCUGGUGCCAGCAUCCGCGGUAAUUCCAGCACUAAUAGCAUAUUAUUUUACUGUUGCAGUUGAAACAUUCGUAGUCGAACUUGGGUUUUUUAUGCACUUGGAGAGAAGAUUGUGCUCCUGUUUGUUCUUCUGGUUUAGAAGUUCUUAUCACCGGGAUUCUUCCACAGGUUUAAUUGAAAUUUAUUUCUUUUUUUCUCUGAUUGGCAAUCUUUUGGGGGUAGGAUACAACUUUAUCAGCUCUUGAGCUUAUAGUCACAGUCCGAUUCAAAGAGUGUUGAGAAAGCCAAUCACUUUCUGGACCGUAUCAACUUCCUUUCAUUAGGCAGGUUGGUCUCUUCAGAUAACUUACCUUGAGACAAUAAACUGGCUCAAAGUAGGUCUUCCUUUCGUGACAUUGAAUUCACUAGCAUGGGAUAAUUUAUCUUUCUGAUAAGUUGGUUCUCUGUCAGAAGGAAGGUGGUUAAAAGGGGUUGAGGGGGUCAGCCAAGCUGUGGGGCGAGGGGUGAAAUCCGUUGACCCUCACAGAUUGACCAUGAGCGAAAGCUGCUGGCUACGAUAUCUCUUUUGAUCAAGAAUGGGAGUGGGGGGAUCGAAAAUGAUUAGAUACCGUUGUAGUCCCCACAGCAAAAGUUGUCAACCACCCGUGGGAUGACAAUCUACCAGACUUCUUCCAUAUGUUAAUUAAAGUUACUAAGUUGACUCUGGGGGGAGUAUGGUCGCAAGUCUGAAACUUAAAGGAAUUGACGGAGGAGCACACAAGGAGUGGAACCUGCGGCUUAAUUUGACUCAACACGGGGAAUCUUACGGAGAUCACAGAAGAUAUGAUUGACACAAUAAAGUUGUUUCUUGAAUUCUUCCAUCGGUGGUGCAUGGCCGUUCUUAGUUCGUGUAGUGGUAUGUCUGGUCAACUCCGCUAACGAGCAAGACAUAAGACUUUCUCAUUAGGUUCUGGACGAUAGGGAGCAUUUGAGUAGAGUAUUUGAGUAGACUACCAGUGCCUUUUAAAGGGUAGGAAUCAUUUCCUUCGGGAUCUUUUUCUCUCCCUUGAUUGGUUACUGGAUGCCUAGUAUAUUCAGUAUUUUACUCUUUUGCUGUUCAGUACUCUAGUCUGAGAGUGACAAACGUUUAUAAGCCGUUGGAAGCAUUAUGCUAUAACAGGUCAGUGAUGCCCUAAGAUAUCUCCGGCUGCACGCGCGUUACUUUAGUAUGAUUAGCUAGACCACGGCAAGAGAUUGCUUGUGUAAUCUAGAAUUCAUCACUAAGGUUAGGAUUGCUUUGUUCCACUCAAACCAUGAAUAUGGAAUUUCUAGUAAGCGCUAGUUCACAAAACUGCGCUGACUUUGUCCCUGCUCUUUGUACACACCGCCCGUCGCUCCUACCGAUGAGUGGCUUGCUAAAGACACCGGAGAAGAAUUAGAGAAGACUAGAAAAAAAGCUUGCUUUCUUUCUGGAGCACCCUCUACGUUUUUUUGAAGGUUUCUGGACCAAGACACUUAGAGGAAGGAGAAGUCGUAACAAGGUAGCUGUAGGUGAACCUGCAGAAGGAUC
rnacentral:rRNA from 1 species